rnacentral:rRNA from 1 species
AGCGAACGCUGGCGGCAGGCUUAACACAUGCAAGUCGAACGGGCGUAGCAAUACGUCAGUGGCAGACGGGUGAGUAACACGUGGGAACACCCCCCUUGGUUCGGAAUAACUCAGGGAAACUUGAGCUAAUACCGGAUAAGUCCGAGAGGAGAAAGAUUCAUCGCCGAGGGAUUGGCCCGCGUCUGAUUAGCUAGUUGGUGAGGUAAUAGCUCACCAAGGCGACGAUCAGUAGCUGGUCUGAGAGGAUGAUCAGCCACACUGGGACUGAGACACGGCCCAGACUCCUACGGGAGGCAGCAGUGGGGAAUAUUGGACAAUGGGCGAAAGCCUGAUCCAGCCAUGCCGCGUGAGUGAUGAAGGCCUUAGGGUUGUAAAGCUCUUUUGUCCGGGAAGAUAAUGACUGUACCGGAAGAAUAAGCCCCGGCUAACUUCGUGCCAGCAGCCGCCGUAA